rnacentral:rRNA from 1 species
GACGAACGCUGGCGGCGCGCUUAACACAUGCAAGUCGAACGGAAAGGCCUGCUUUCCCUUGUGGAUUGCGGGUACUCGAGUGGCGAACGGGUGAGUAACACGUGAGUGAUCUGCCCCCAACUUGGGUAUAAGCCUGGGAAACUGGGUCUAAUUCCCGAUAGGACUGCAGGGUGGUGCCUGUGGUGGAAAACGAUUUUCUAGUGGUUGGGGAUGAGCUCGCGGCCUAUCAGCUUGUUGGUGGGGUAAUGGCCUACCAAGGCGGCGACGGGUAGCCGGCCUGAGAGGGUGGACGGCCACAUUGGGACUGAGAUACGGCCCAGAGUCCUACGGGAGGCAGCAGUGGGGAAUAUUGCACAAUGGGCGGAAGCCUGAUGCAGCGACGCCGCGUGGGGGAUGACGGCCUUCGGGUUGUAAACUCCUUUCGACCGCGAGGAAGCCACCUGGUUGGAAGGGUGGUGACGGUAGUGGUAGAAGAAGCACCGGCUAACUACGU